rnacentral:rRNA from 1 species
CAGUAGCCGCGGGAAUACGUAGGGGGCAAGCGUUAUCCGGAAUUACUGGGUGUAAAGCGAGCGCAGGCGGUUAGAUAAGUCUGAAGUUAAAGGCUGUGGCUUAACCAUAGUACGCUUUGGAAACUGUUUAACUUGAGUGCAAGAGGGGAGAGUGGAAUUCCAUGUGUAGCGGUGAAAUGCGUAGAUAUAUGGAGGAACACCGGUGGCGAAAGCGGCUCUCUGGCUUGUAACUGACGCUGAGGCUCGAAAGCGUGGGGAGCAAACAGGAUUAGAUACCCCUGUAGUCCCUGUCUCUUAUACA